rnacentral:rRNA from 1 species
AUACGUAGGGUGCAAGCGUUAAUCGGAAUUACUGGGCGUAAAGCGUGCGUCAGGCGGUUCGGAAAGAAGGAUGUGAAAUCCCCAGGGCUCAACCUUGGAACUGCAUUCUUAACUACCGGACUAGAGUAUGUCAGAGGGGGGUAGAAUUCCGCGUGUAGCAGUGAAAUGCGUAGAUAUGCGGAGGAAUACCGAUGGCGAAGGCAGCCCCCUGGGAUAAUACUGACGCUCAUGCACGAAAGCGUGGGUAGC